rnacentral:lncRNA from 1 species
CCAGCCCCGCGUGCAGCUCGCACCCCUUCCCACGCCUGUUCGGGGGAGAGCCCCGGGCCUGGAGUGGGAAGCCUGGCUCCAGCUCUGGUUACCUGCAGUGACUCCCCAGGCCGUUUAGGCGAGUCCAUUGGGCCGCCUCUGCCUCGGUUUCCCCACCUAACCACGGAAGGUGCUCCUCCCUUCCAGGCAUCUGUGGUCUUCGAGCUCCACGCGGGAGAGGCGCCGGUCUGGCACCUCCUGCCCAGGGUCGGCGCCUCCUGGCUCUCGGGGAGGGGGGCAUCCUCCAUCCCCUGCACCUGCCUCGAGAGGAACCAGGGACAGAGCACCCCCACCCCCACCAGGAGCUCCGGAAAAACGGCUUCAGAAGAGCAAAUAUACACACACACCCACCUCCCGCCCCAAACAUCCCCGAAGAAAGCGUCUCUAGGGGAGAGCUUGAAUCCCUCCUUCCACUCCUCCUCCACGGAAAACAGAGUGAACUCCUGCUACAGAGGCCGCCAGAGCAACAUGCAAGACCAGCUUUGAGGGGAGCGGGCACAGGGCCUUGCAGGGAAGGUGGGCCGAGCCCAGACCCCUCAUUCUUACUUGGCUCUGAAGGCGGAAAGGCAAAGCUAGACCUCGAGGAAGUUCCCCUCCCUGUGGGCCCUACAGUGAAGAUUACAUGAAGGCAUGUGGGCGGUGGACCAGAGUGCACCGACUGAUGAAGGCGGCCCGGUACCCGCGGGUGCCAUGCCUCCUUCUUAGCCAAGGCCACUCUAGCUCCCCGUGAAGUAUCCAGGUAGAAGGCUGGUGGGGUUACAGGUGAGAAGCCGUCGGUGGGGUCCAGGAGCCAGGCCUGGGGAAGCACACGUCACUUCCACCCACAUCCAUGGGCCAGAAGUAGUCGCACAGUCCCACCAGGAUGCAAGGGGCUCUGGCAGCUGUGGUCUUCAUGAGUGUUUCGGAAGUAAACAAAGCCGGUUUGAUGAACACGUAGAAACAUCCCUGCCACAGAAACUGAGCAGAUUUCUCCCAAGCACACACAGGGCAAAGGGGCAAAGUCUGUCCACAGACUCACAGGAAGGGAGGUGCAUGGCAGACACAGGCAGGAGGUGGGGUUGGGGUGGAAAAGUUCAGGGAGGGCUCAAAAGCAGACCAAGGCCUGUUUCUGAAACCCAGCCCACUCACUGGUUCCUCCACACUUGGCCCAUGCUGUUCCUCUCCCAUGUGACUUUUCCAUCUUCCCCCUCCAACCUGUCACCCAUCCAUCCUUCAAAACUUAGGUCAGUUAGCUCUCACCUAGCCCUCAGCAGCUUAGCCCGCAGAUGCUUCCUCUGUUUCUGAACUUCUAGAGAAACACACUUAACCGCAGACCUCUUAUUCCAGGAGUGUAUCUCUCUCAGAUGAGAUACAAGUUGGUCCCUUCCCUUGCGUCCCUCCUGUUCCUUCAAGAGGAGGACUGUCUACCCACCCCGAAGCUUCAUGGAGAGAGAGCACACCGUCGUUAUUCAAUAUGUAGUUUUGAAUUUAACUAGAGCAAAGAAGAAAGCAAAUUCAGGUGGAAGGAAGAAGAAAAGGGAAAAGGGCUGUCCCCAUCCUUCUAAGGAGAUGGUGCAGUGGCUCACCUUUGGGA